rnacentral:rRNA from 1 species
UUUGAGGCAUCUCGAAACUUUUAAAAGACCCGCAAGGGUAUGCUGAGAGAUGGGCUUGCGGCACAUUAGUUAGUUGGUAAGGUAAUGGCUUACCAAGACUAUGAUGUGUAGCUGGACUGAGAGGUUGAACGGCCACAUUGGGACUGAGAUACGGCCCAAACUCCUACGGGAGGCAGCAGUAAGGAAUUUUCGGCAAUGGAGGAAACUCUGACCGAGCAACGCCGCGUGAACGAUGAAGUAUUUAGGUACGUAAAGUUCUUUUAUUAAAGAAGAAAAAAUGAUGGAAAAAUCAUUCUGACGGUAUUUAAUGAAUAAGCCCCGGCUAACUAUGUGCCAGCAGCUGCGGUAAUACAUGGGGGGCAAGCGUUAUCCGGAUUUAUUGGGCGUAAAGGGUGCGUAGGCGGUUAAAUAAGUCUAUGGUAUAAGUUCAACGCUUAACGUUGUGAUGCUAUAGAAACUGUUUGACUAGAGUUGGAUAGAGGCAAGUGGAAUUCCAUGUGUAGCGGUAAAAUGCGUAAAUAUAUGGAGGAACACCAGUAGCGAAGGCGGCUUGCUGGGUCUUAACUGACGCUGAGGCACGAAAGCGUGGGGAGCAAACAGGAUUAGAUACCCUGGUAGUCCACGCCGUAAACGAUGAGUACUAAGUGUUGGGUUAAACCAGUGCUGAAGUUAACACAUUAAGUACUCCGCCUGAGUAGUACGUACGCAAGUAUGAAACUUAAAGGAAUUGACGGGACUCCGCCCAAGCGGUGGAUCAUGUUGUUUAAUUCGAAGAUACACGAAAAACCUUACCAGGUCUUGACAUACUCUGCAAAGCUAUAGAAAUAUAGUGGAGGUUAUCAGGGAUACAGGUGGUGCAUGGUUGUCGUCAGCUCGUGUCGUGAGAUGUUGGGUUAAGUCCCGCAACGAGCGCAACCCUUAUCACUAGUUACCAUCAUUUAGUUGGGCACUUUAGUGAGACUGCCAAUGAUAAAUUGGAGGAAGGUGGGGAUUACGUCAAAUCAUCAUGCCCCUUAUGACCUGGGCUACAAACGUGAUACAAUGGCUGUUACAAAGAGUAGCUGAAACGUGAGUUUUUAGCAAAUCUCAAAAAAACAGUCUCAGUUCGGAUUGAAGUCUGCAACUCGACUUCAUGAAGUCGGAAUCGCUAGUAAUCGCGAAUCAGCAUGUCGUGGUGAAUACG